CGGCGCACACUCAGCACGGGGCGCCUCGAGACGUUGGCAGUUGUCGGCUGGCGCAGCUGCCGGUCGGAGGUGCGAUUAGCGGUGAUUAGCGGUACAUGGAAAGAGAGGGAGAUGACAGCAAGCAGAGUUCCAGUUAGUUUUCUAUUUGAAAGGCUAUUUACAGGGUAUUCACUUUUUAUCGCUUUUCACAGCUCAACAACAAUUCAAAAGCGCGCUACAUGCUGAUAAAUAAUAGUAAAACAAUAAAAUAAUUAAUUCAUUUUAAUCAA